CCUGCUCUGUCCCGGCUCUGUCCCGGCUCUGUCUCCGCUCUAUCCCGGCUCUGUCCCGGCCCCGAGCGGCUCAGCGCUGCCGGGAGCGUCCCUGGCUCAGCAGAAGGGGCAGACCCGCAGAAGUCGGCAGCUUUUCAGAUUUUCAGCAGAAAAGCAGGUGUUCUGUCCAUAGCACCAUAGUGAGGGAGCAGCAGCAAGGACCGCUGCAAUAUGCUCGGACGUCCCGAAAUCCCACUUUGUUAUCCGAAGGAAAUUCUUGCCCAGAGGAGCUGUGACUGACCCAUCCCUGCUGUUUCGAGGCCAGGUUGGAUGGGGCCCUGAACAGCCUGGUCUAGUGAAAGGUGUUCCUGCCUAUGGCAGAAAAAAUGCCAUCUCUAAUGUCCUUUCCAGCCCAAACCAUUCUGUGGGUCUAAAUUCCUUGUUUAACUCAUUUGCUAGUUGUUUGUAGCUAAUUGCCUCUGUAGUGAUAAAGCGCUGGUACCGAUUUUAAGGCUGUGCACACUCAAUACACACUCGAGAGCCAGGUUUAAACGUGGUUUAACCCCCCCAGCCUCAGAGCCGAGCGAGCCCAGGUCACCUCCCAGCCCCGGGGGGACCCCCACACCCCGCUCCUGCAGGGAGCUCGGUCAGGAGCAGGGGCACUGCUCAGGGAUGUGUCUGAGCACUCAUAAACCGAGUAACGAAACGAGCCUUGUGGAAAGAAUAGGAUCAAAAUACGGGAAAUGUUAAAAUUUUGCUGCUCGUGUUUGUUAUUACAGCUUUUCACAUGGAUGAAAAAAUGCAGCUGUGGUGUUCUCACCAGAACAGCAGCAGAUCCUGCUGGCAGGUUAGGCUGGCUUCAAUGCCUGGUUACACCUUAAAUUAACAUUAUAGUGUUUUAAAUACCUUAAUUAUCGCCUAUUGUUUAAAAACAGCCCAAGCCCCAGAGUCCCGCAGCUGGGCUGAUGUGGGCUCUCAGUGCUCCCAUCUCCUCUGUGCCCGGGAGUCUGUCAGCACAGAGAUCUUCGCGAGGUUAAUCCACCUCCAGAGUUUGUGUUUAAACAUCCUUUGCGAACUAAAACUACAGAGCAGGUGUUAAUUGAGUGCUAAUUUAUAUAAAUUCCUCGCGUGAAAGUGAUUAAGGGGGGGAAUUCGUCCCUAUCUUUCUGCGAGGUUAUUUGCUUCUUACGUAAAAAAAAAAAAAAAAAAAAAAAAAAGGAAAGAAAAAAAAAAGAAAAAAACACCGAAAAAUAAUUAAAAAUAGGUGGUUUGCAUAGAGAGAGGCGAGUACUUGUAAGAAGGUACCUGGGUCAUGAUCACUGCCCUGCAGGAAGCUGUGAGCACAGUAAAGGGCAGGCUCCGUGCUCAGAAAGGCUCCCUGGCUUCUCAGCAACCUCAAGUUAGCACUGAAGUUGGCUGCGAGGCAUCAAUUUAAGGACAGUUUUACACACUUAAAAGAGUGGACACAAUCGGGACAGCUUGUGUGAAAGAGAAGGAACAGGAAAACGUGACAUCCAGAAGUCAAUUGGCUCCUCCUGACUUGCUUGGAAGUUCAGUAUCAGGAUGCACAGGAAGGCAGUGGAUGCAGGGAGAGAAUGUGCAGUGCUGAGGGCGACGUCUGAGACAGUGAGGAUCCUCUGCUCUGUUAACAAUGAUUGUUACAAGUGCUGCUCUAAGGAGAGAUGCUUGAUGACUGAAUGAUCAGAACAGAAAUGGAGCAUCCAUCAACACUUGAGUCAAGUGAAAGUGUGAGAAAGAAAUGAGGAGAAAUCAAGGCACAAGUAUUAUUGUUCACUUUUGAUUCUGAAGCAGUGUCAUUGCUUUGAGAGCUCCCACCUGCUAAUGAAGAACCCUCUUAUACCAAGAAUUUCAGACUGGAAGGAAAAAUUGAGUGCUUAAUUCUGAUCAGGAUGUCAGGAGUAGACAAUUGCUAUUACAAAAAGUGAUGGCAAUCUUCUUUUUCUUGCCUGUCUAAUAUAUACUGCCCAAGCACUUCUCUGGAGAGACAGCAGAGAGACCAUCCAUCAGCAUCACAAAAUCUGAACCAGAAUUCAUUUCAUGGCUGUUUUAGAACCACUUGGGACAUGAUACUAAAACCACCUCCGCUGUAAAAGAGCUGCUGAGCUCUUGUGACAGAGCUCCUCUGAUGAGCAGAGUGGUGCAGACAGUCUGAACUAAUGCUGGAACAAGAGAGCUGUGCCUGAGCCCUUUAGGAACUGGAUGGCAAAGGAAAGCAGUGCUCCCUCUGCAAGAGAACUUCACAGCCUUGAGUUGUAUCACCCUGCUGUCUCGUGUGGAUUUAAUUGUCUUGUAACCUGUUGUGAAUUAGAUCACAUCCAGCAUCAGAAGCUUGUGGGUGUAGCUGCUCCUGGUGUGUUUAUUCCUGAUGUCAAAGGGUGCACCUCUGUGUGAAUGAGAGGAUGGGAAAGCUGAGCCCUGAAAAGCACACCACAAAAGUUGAGGCAGGAAGUGUGUGCCUCUGACAUAGGUGACUGCGGGUGACAUCCGUGCCUGAUGCUCCAGGAAAGAGUCAGGAGGGCAGCAGGAAGAGCAUUUCCAGCUGGUGGGGAAUGCUGUGUGGGUGAGCAGUGCAAUGGCUCGUGGCCCAGAAAUCACACAUGGGGGUGAAGAUGGGCAGGGGUCGUUGCCCUAAAGGUGGUAAUGUUAUUAUUAAAUUGUUGCAAUAAACCCACUGUUUGUAGGAAUUGUGAUUUGUACAGAAGACUAAAGGAAAACAAUGUUCUAAAGCCAGAUUGAAGCAGGAGCCCGGGAG